rnacentral:tRNA from 1 species
AGCUCUUGAAAGAUAAUAGAAAUCUAUUGGUCUUAGGAACCAAAAACUCUUGGUGCAAGUCCAAGCAUUAGCU